AAAGAUAGAGGAGCAAUUUUUAAGAGUAGGAUUGCUGAGAGGGCACGAUGAAGCAGUUUGAAAGGAAAAAUCGCCGAAGUGUAUGUCAUUGCCAAAGUGUCAUAUGCUGGUAUUGAGCAAAAUAUGUUCAAUACUGUCACAAGUAUUCAUGGGAGUAUUUGUGGAGUGCUAUCA
rnacentral:ncRNA from 1 species